rnacentral:rRNA from 1 species
CAGCAGCCGCGGUAAUACGUAGGGUGCGAGCGUUGUCCGGAAUUAUUGGGCGUAAAGAGCUUGUAGGUGGUUUGUCGCGUCUGCUGUGAAAAUCCGAGGCUCAACCUCGGACUUGCAGUGGGUACGGGCAGACUAGAGUGUGGUAGGGGAGACUGGAAUUCCUGGUGUAGCGGUGGAAUGCGCAGAUAUCAGGAGGAACACCGAUGGCGAAGGCAGGUCUCUGGGCCAUUACUGACACUGAGAAGCGAAAGCAUGGGGAGCGAACAGGAUUAGAUACCCCCGUAGUCCCUGUCUCUUAUAC